rnacentral:rRNA from 1 species
AGUGAACGCUGGCGGUAGGCCUAACACAUGCAAGUCGAACGGCAGCACAGUAAGAGCUUGCUCUUACGGGUGGCGAGUGGCGGACGGGUGAGGAAUACAUCGGAAUCUACUUUUUCGUGGGGGAUAACGUAGGGAAACUUACGCUAAUACCGCAUACGACCUACGGGUGAAAGCAGGGGAUCUUCGGACCUUGUGCGAUUGAAUGAGCCGAUGUCGGAUUAGCUAGUUGGCGGGGUAAAGGCCCACCAAGGCGACGAUCCGUAGCUGGUCUGAGAGGAUGAUCAGCCACACUGGAACUGAGACACGGUCCAGACUCCUACGGGAGGCAGCAGUGGGGAAUAUUGGACAAAGGGCGCAAGCCUGAUCCAGCCAUACCGCGUGGGUGAAGAAGGCCUUCGGGUUGUAAAGCCCUGUUGUUGGGAAAGAAAAGCAGCAGGUUAAUACCCCGCUGUUCUGACGGUACCCAAAGAAUAAGCACCGGCUAACUUCGUG